UUGGAGGGCAAGUCUGGUGCCAGCAGCCGCAGUAAUUCCAGCUCCAAUAGCGUAUAUUAAAGUUGUUGCAGUUAAAAAGCUCGUAGUUGAAUUUCGGGAUUGACACAUCGGUCGUGCCUUAAGGGGUAUGAACUGGUGUAGUCAAUUUCUCACCUUCUGGAGAACCGCGAUGCCCUUAAUUGGGUGCCGCGGGGAACCAGGACCUUUACUUUGAAAAAAUUAGAGUGUUUAAAGCAGGCAUUUUGCUUGAAUACAUUAGCAUGGAAUAAUAAAAUAGGACGGCGUGAUUCUAUUUUGUUGGUUUCUAGGAUCACCGUAAUGAUUAAUAGGGAUAGUUGGGGGCAUUAGUAUUCAAUUGUCAGAGGUGAAAUUCUUGGAUUUAUUGAAGACUAACUACUGCGAAAGCAUUUGCCAAGGAUGUUUUCAUUAAUCAAGAACGAAAGUUAGGGGAUCGAAGACGAUCAGAUACCGUCGUAGUCUUAACCAUAAACUAUGCCGACUAGGAAUCAGACGAUGUUAAUUUUUUAAUGACUCGUUUGGCACCUUACGGGAAACCAAAGUGUUUGGGUUC
rnacentral:rRNA from 1 species